rnacentral:lncRNA from 1 species
AUGGAGGGACCCCAGAGGGAGGGAGCCCAGAAGCGCUGGGUGCUGGAGCUGCUGUGCCAUGGUGGAAGGCCCUGCAAGGAGCUGUUUGUGGCGUCUGGGCAUGGUUUGGGGAAGGACAAGGAAUGUUUUCAUGUUUCCCUUGCAGGAUUCUGUGGAUUUUGGGAGGAACCCGGCCAGGGCUGCCCUCAGGCCGUGAAUGGGCCCAGUGUAGUUUUGCGAGGCCUUCCCAGAAGUGAGGAGCUCCUUGGAAACGAGCCCAGGAACCAUCCAAAGCCUGGGAGGAGAUCAAGGGGGCUGCGGGCUCCCCGGCUGUCCCACAGCCCCGAGGGGAACAUUCCCGCUGCAGCGUGGCCCCGACACCCUGGGACAGCGAGGACAGAGGGAACAGAGAGAACAGAGGCACCCUUCAACGCUGCCUGUGCCCCUACGUGCUGGGAAGGCUUCCCCUCGUCCCCUCAUCUUCAGGGCUAUGACAGCUGCUCCUUUCCCUUUUCCCCUCAUCCCCCAAUGUUCAGGGCUCUUCUUGCUCCUUUCCCUUUUUCCCCUCAUCCCCGUGAUGUUCAGGACUCUUCCAGCUGCUCCUUUUCCCCUCAUCCUCCUGAUAUUCAGGGCUCUUCUUGCUCCUUUGCCCCCUCAUCCUCCCCAUGUUCAGGGCUCUUCCAGCUGCUCCCUUUGCCAGAGAUGAUCCCUUUUCCCUUUUUUCCCUUUUUCCACGUGGACAACAAGGCUGGUGAGGGACCCAAAGCACCAUCACUGUGGGGAAACCAUCCCCACAUUGCAUUGUGCUGUGGCACAAACACAGGCACGGAAAAUGAGGUAAGAAUAUUCUUGGCAAGAUUUGUGCCUUGCUUUUCUCUGUCAAGAGAAAUGUGGGGCUACACACUUGGUCCUGACAGGCCAAGGAACCAAAACACCAACAAUCCCCACAUUGCAUUCUGCUUUGGCACAACCACAGGCACAGACAAUGAUGAGAAUUGUGUUUUUCCUUUCUCUGAGGUUCAGAGAACGUGGAACCCAGAAAUAUUCUUGGGAAGAGCUGUGCCUUGCUCCUCUCUGUGCAGAGCAAUGUGGCGGCACAGGCCGGGCUGUUUUUGCUAA